CUUGAAGUUAGAGUACAAAGAGACAGCUUUACACAGAAGGCAUCUGCCCCGCCUGCUGGGAACACACGCUCCAUAUCCACAUCCCGGAGCCUCGGACUGAGAAUCAACUUAUUAUCUUUUAUCAAAGGUUCAUAGAUAAACAAGGAAAAGAUGUGUGGUGGAGGAGAAGCUGUGUUCACCUUCCUGAUGAGCCCAUGUGGAGUGCCAGAGGUUCAAUGCAGAUGUCAGCAGUCUCUGACGUUUGAAAAGAUGACCAG
rnacentral:lncRNA from 1 species